CACGUUUAACUUGAUUGUGCCCCUGCACCACCCAAAGACCAUGCACUGCCACUGCAAGGCCAGUGGGGUGUAGAGGGGCGUGACAGACCACCUUCUAUAAAUUAUGAAUUUAGCUGAUGUUGGACAAUGGAGACAGUUGAUCAAUGUUAGGACAUUGAAGAGCGGGUCUGCAUGUUCUAGUAGGAUCAAUGCUCAUUUUAAUUUUCUCUUGAAGGCCAAGAGCAACCCAGAGACAGUACAUAAAGCAGGCAUUAGAUGCAUAAACUCCUCGAGGUAUAUGACCAUUGUACAGGGAAUAGCCCCCCUGGUGUCCCGCCUCCCCCCACCAGGGGGCGCCCUCCUUACAGCCUAUUCCCAGAAUGCAAAGCGAGCCGCAUACCGCUUCUAUUAAAGCUUCAGACUUCCGUCUGAUCCUUCCAUUCCUUCUCAAUGUGGUGGAGUGACUUCAUGCGCUUGGCAUGAUGUCGAAGUUUGCUUUUCCAAUGGUAAAUCGACAUGUCCGUCCCAGUACAUUAAUACUUCAAUUUAAGCAGAAUUGAUAUGCUGUGAUGAUUGCAAAAAAACACAUCAUGCUGACUAAUACUGUGGUUAUCCCGAUACUGGUGUUGCUUCAGGACCUGAUGGUUGGCUGAGGGUUGCCUGUGGGGUCUUGAUGAGACUAAUUUGUGCAGGCUGCCAAUCUGCUGUGCUAAGAUGCCAGUCAACGCCCCAAAGACGUCAACCAAAGCAGGCUGUCAUCUGCUGCGCUGGUUCUUUUGCUUCAACCAGUUGACCAAGGAGGUCAUGGUAGACGACAUGAUGGGUCACUGUAUAGCGGACUGCAAGGUUAAUUACUUGAUUGCAGGCGUAAUGCCCCAAAGACCACCAGAAUCAGGCUGUCAUCUGCUGCGCUGGUUCUUCUGUUUCAACCAGUUGAUCAAGGAGGUCAUGGUGGACGACAUGACGAGUCACUGUGUAUAGUGGACUGCAAGGUUAAUUACUUGAUUGCAGGCGAAACGCCCCAAAGACUACACCAGAAUCAGGCUGUCAUCUGCUGCGCUGGUUCUUCUGUUUCAACCAGUUGAUCAAGGAGGUCAUGGUGGACGACAUGACGAGUCACUGUGUAUAGUGGACUGCAAGGUUAAUUACUUGAUUGCAGGCGAAACGCCCCAAAGACUACACCAGAAUCAGGUAAAUGUUAAGAUGGUCAGCAUGUCGCUUCAGCAUUAAACUGUUGUUCAAACCCAGUGAGUACUCUCAUGGCAUGAGCAUUCGCUCGGCUGUGGAAUCCAAACAUUGGGAGAGAAAGCUCUGGGCUUUGGCACAGAUUCAGUAGCACCCAUCUACCAUGACCUGACUAAGCCCUGAAACAACCAGACUAGUAACGGUUAAGUUUGGAACAUGUGAUGCAUUUUGCCUCGUUCUAAAACCAUCUUAUUUCCAACAGGCUGUCAUCUGCUGCGCUGGUUCUUCUGUUUCAACCAGUUGAUCAAGGAGGUCAUGGUGGACGACAUGACGAGUCACUGUGUAUAGUGGACUGCAAGGUUAAUUACUUGAUUGCAGGCGAAACGCCCCAAAGACCACCAGAAUCAGGUGUGGAAUGACUCUUGCUCCUGGGACUUCUCUGGAAUAUAUUCCAGGUUCCUAUUAAUUCAUGCUCUGUGGAAAUAAAAGUUUUUU